rnacentral:rRNA from 1 species
CCUACGGGAGGCAGCAGUAGGGAAUAUUGCACAAUGGGGGAAACCCUGAUGCAGCAACGCCGCGUGAGUGAUGACGGUCUUCGGAUUGUAAAGCUCUGUCUUUAGGGACGAUAAUGACGGUACCUAAGGAGGAAGCCACGGCUAACUACGUGCCAGCAGCCGCGGUAAU